CCCUAACCAACUGAGCCACCCAGGUGCCCAAGAUGUCACUAUUCUCCAUCUUACGUUUUCAGCUGAUCUACAGAUCAGCACAAUCUCUAUCAAGAUCUGCGUGAAACCGUUAAUAGAGCAGGCCCAGGAAUACUAUCUAUCAUUUCAAAACCCUGCUUCCAAGCUUGGCCCUUGGCUAGGAUCUGAGAAUUUGUGUUUGGGGAGGGUUCCACCACCCCAACUGAUAGGAGUAGCUCGGUGUGUCUAAACUUAAUGCAAACAACAUAGCUUACCGGCUUUCCUCCUGGGAAUAUGGAAUUUUGCUAGGCACUAGGCAGAAGGUGUCUGCAUGACAAGCUGCCUAAAAAACCUUUGGCGCAGUCUCUAAUGAGCUUCUCUCAUAGAUAACAUUUCACAGACGUCAUAACUCGUUACUGGGAAGUAAUUCUAAGUCAUGCUGGUCACAAAAGACCUUCGAUUGUAUGAUACUUUCUCUAGGAGAUGUCCAGAACAGGCAAAUCCACAGAAGAGCAUCUACUACAUACGAAGUCUGGAGUGUUGGAGCCAACUGGGCUGUUCAAUCAGGCAGUCUUUGAGUUGAACCUCUGAGUUGAACCUCACCGUUGCUACUUACCGCCAGCACUGGGAUCACCUGAGGACUUUCCGUCAAUGCAAAUUCUUGACCCACUGAAUCAGAGACUUUGGGAAUGAGCUCUAGCAAUCUGCGUUUCCACAGCCCUCCAGCGGGAGGAGGAGCAGAGGGAGAG